rnacentral:rRNA from 1 species
GGCUCAGGACAAACGCUGGCGGCGUGCGUAACACAUGCAAGUCGGACGCAGCCCAGGCUUCGGUCUGGGAGAUGCGUGGCGGACGGGUGAGUAACACGUGGAGAACCUGACCCUGGGUGGGGGAUAGCCUGCAGAAAUGCGGGAUAAUCCCGCAUGGGCUCAGCGGGUGCAAGGCCUGGUGAGCAAAGCCGAAAGGCGCCCGGGGAGGGGUCCGCGGCCGAUUAGCUAGUUGGUGGGGUAAGGGCCUACCAAGGCGACGAUCGGUAGCUGGUCUGAGAGGACGAACAGCCACACUGGGAUUGAGAACGGCCCAGACUCCUACGGGGGGCAGCAGUGAGGAAUCUUCGGCAAUGGGGGCAACCCUGACCGAGCGACGCCGCGUGCGGGAAGACGCCUUUCGGGGUGUAAACCGCUUUUCUCUGGGACGAGAAUGGACGGUACCAGAGGAAGAAGUCUCGGCUAACUACGUGCCAGCAGCCGCGGUAAGACGUAGGAGGCGAGCGUUGUCCGGAGUUACUGGGCGUAAAGGGUGCGUAGGCGGUCGUGCGCGUGGAUGGUGAAAUCUCCCGGCUCACCUGGGAGGGGGCCGUCCAGACGGCAGGACUUGAGGGUCGGAGAGGGGCGUGGAAUUCCGGGUGGAGCGGUGAAAUGCGUAGAGAUCCGGAGGAACACCGACGGCGAAGGCAGCGCCCUGGCCGACGACUGACGCUGAGGCACGAAAGCUGGGGGAGCAAACAGGAUUAGAUACCCUGGUAGUCCCAGCCCUAAACGAUGUCCACCAGGUGCCGGGGGAGUCGACCCCCUCGGUGCCGCAGCUAACGUGAUGAGUGGACCGCCUGGGGAGUACGGC